rnacentral:rRNA from 1 species
CACCGCGGUUAUACGAGAGGCCCAAGUUGAUAGACAUCGGCGUAAAGCGUGGUUAAGAUGAAAUACAAUACUAAAGCCGAACACCUUCAGAGCUGUUAUACGCACCCGAAGAUAAGAAGUUCAACCACGAAAGUGGCUUUAUAACCCCUGAACCCACGAAAGCUAUGGUA